rnacentral:rRNA from 1 species
UUUUUUAAUAUUUUUUUUAUCUGCUCAGAGACGCUGCGCGUGCUCAUACAUGCAAGUCGAGCGGACAGAGGGAGCUUGCUCCCGGAUGUUAUCGCGACGAGUGAGUAACACGUGAGUAACCUGCCUGUAAGACUGGGAUAACUCCGGGAAACCGGAGCUAAUACCGGAUAGUUCCUUGAACCGCAUCGUUCAAGGAUGAAAAGACGGUUUCGGCUGUCACCUCACAGAUGGACCCGCGGCGCAUUAGCUAGUUGGUGGGGGUAAUGGGCUCACCAAGGCGGACGAUGCGUAGCCGACUUUGAGAGGGUGAUCGACCCCCACUGGGACUGAGACCACGGCUCCAGACUCCUACGGGGAGGGCAGCAGUAGGGGAAUCUUCCCCCAAUGGACGACAAGUCUGACGGGAGCAACGCCGCGUGAGUGAUGAAGGUCUUUCGGAUCGUAAAGCUCUGUUGUUAGGGAAGAACAAGUGCGAGAGUAACUGCUCGCACCUUGACGGUACCUAACCAGAAAGCCACGGCUAACUACGUGCCAGCAGCCGCGGUAAUACGUAGGUGGCCAGCGUUGUCCGGAAUUAUUGGGCGUAAAGGGCUCGCAGGCGGUUUCUUAAGUUUGAUGUGAAAGCCCCCGGCUCAACCGGGGAGGGUCAUUGGAAACUGGGAAACUUGAGUGCAGAAGAGGAGAGUGGAAUUCCACGUGUAGCGGUGAAAUGCGUAGAGAUGUGGAGGAACACCAGUGGCGAAGGCGACUCUCUGGUCUGUAACUGACGCUGAGGAGCGAAAGCGUGGGGAGCGAACAGGAUUAGAUACCCUGGUAGUCCACGCCGUAAACGAUGAGUGCUAAGUGUUAGGGGGUUUCCGCCCCUUAGUGCUGCAGCUAACGCAUUAAGCACUCCGCCUGGGAGUUGCCACG